AAUCUGGAGAGCAGUGCUCAAUUUGUAGGAACACAGGACUAAUUUCUUCUACGAUAAACACUCACCGAAGGGGAAGGCUUCAUGAUUAAUUGGUAAUCAUCUGCCGAAACUCUCAGGUACCAUGACAGAUGGGG
rnacentral:ncRNA from 1 species